rnacentral:rRNA from 1 species
UUGGAGGGCAAGUCUGGUGCCAGCAGCCGCGGUAAUUCCAGCUCCAAUAGCGUAUAUUAAAGUUGUUGCAGUUAAAAAGCUCGUAGUUGAAUUUCGGGAUUAGUAGGUUGGUCAUGCCUCUGGUAUGUACUGAUCUCACUGAUUCCUCCUUCCUUAUGAACCGUAAUGCCAUUAAUUUGGUGUUGCGGGGAAUUUGGACUGUUACUUUGAAAAAAUUAGAGUGUUUAAAGCAGGCUAACGCUUGAAUACAUUAGCAUGGAAUAAUGAAAUAGGACGUUCGAUCUUAUUUUGUUGGUUUCUAGGAUUGACGUAAUGAUUAAUAGGGAUAGUUGGGGGCAUUAGUAUUCAAUUGUCAGAGGUGAAAUUCUUGGAUUUAUUGAAGACUAACUACUGCGAAAGCAUUUGCCAAGGAUGUUUUCAUUAAUCAAGAACGAAAGUUAGGGGAUCGAAGACGAUCAGAUACCGUCGUAGUCUUAACCAUAAACUAUGCCGACUAGGGAUCGGAUGAUGUUAAUUUUUUAAUGACUCAUUCGGCACCUUACGGGAAAC